ACCGACCCCACAGCCAGGGCCCCCAGCCUCUGCCAUGUCACAGCCAGGGUCCCCAGCUUCUCCCCGGCCUCCAAAUCCAGCCUUCCUUAGUCUUGAUCUAGGCUUUAGUUAAAUUCCCGUCUAUAAGAAGUUGUAUGAAAAUUAGAUUUUUGCCACUCUAACCUGAUUUGAAAUGCAUUAAGAGAUCUGCCUCUUGGAACACCUCAAGGUGAGGCGGCUUGGGAAGGGAGGAAGAGUCCCCUUGCCGCCGCUCUGAGCUUAAACAUCCUUAAACAUCAUUAGGGAGUGAGUCACACUCUAUUUCUGUACCAGGAGUGCUUCUGUUUGAAGAAAUUCCCCCAGCAGGUCUCUGAGGGAGACAGAAUUUACCCUAAAAGAAACAGCGUCGAGUUCGGGACGAUGAGCUGCUGGCCCCGCAGACUCCGCCAGGGCCCAGAGUGACUAAAGGAAAUGUGAAAGCCAGCAGGUUCUCGCAUGCAUGUUGGAGCUGGCUGCCCUGGACUGAGGCGUAGUGUGCACACCUCCACACAGUGGGGGUGGGUAGGAGGCUGCACAUAGCAAUCACCGUGUAAGGCACAGCACUUUGGAGGACUCACACACGCCCUCUACAAGAUCACACCUAUUAGCACCCGGUGAUGGAGGAGGCAGGAGGCUCCCAAGGCCUUCAUCUUCAGCAGCUCUGCCCCACCCUAAGACUAUGUGAGACGUGAGCUGUUGACUGAGGUGCGACUUCUGGGGGGGGGUUACUGCCUAUAAAUCACCCGGGGAACGUCUGAAGGGGCUGUGUAGCUGACUUUGGGGUACCCCCGCCUCUGCAAGCAAUCCUAAUAAAUUCAUUAGUUCACCAGGCUGAA